GAUGAACGCUGGCGGCGUGCCUAAUACAUGCAAGUCGAGCGAACGGACGAGAAGCUUGCUUCUCUGAUGUUAGCGGCGGACGGGUGAGUAACACGUGGAUAACCUACCUAUAAGACUGGGAUAACUUCGGGAAACCGGAGCUAAUACCGGAUGAUAUUUUGAACCGCAUGGUUCAAAAGUGAAAGACGGUCUUGCUGUCACUUAUAGAUGGAUCCGCGCUGCAUUAGCUAGUUGGUAAGGUAACGGCUUACCAAGGCAACGAUGCAUAGCCGACCUGAAAGGGUGAUCGGCCACACUGGAACUGAGACACGGUCCAGACUCCUACGGGAGGCAGCAGUAGGGAAUCUUCCGCAAUGGGCGAAAGCCUGACGGAGCAACGCCGCGUGAGUGAUGAAGGUCUUCGGAUCGUAAAACUCUGUUAUUAGGGAAGAACAUAUGUGUAAGUAACUGUGCACAUCUUGACGGUACCUAAUCAGAAAGCCACGGCUAACUACGUG
rnacentral:rRNA from 1 species